CUCUCUCUCUCACCUUGUUCUCUUCGUCGGCGAUUUUCUGAGAGAUCGGCGUUGAGCUUCAGAAACCGGCGUAUACAUCAUCAAAUUAGGAGCUAAAGGCGAACCAAAGUUGAUUGCUCUCGGGAGAGAACGGUGUUGAGCUUCAGAAACCGACCUAAUCAGUGCUCGAGUCUAAUAAAAUCGGAGAGUUAGUCGAUUCCAUGCUCCAAUCGCUUUAUCACGGUACGAAUCUCUCUGUUUAGUUGUUACGGUGACUUUUGAUUAGGGUUAUUAGCUGUAAUCAAAAUUAGGGUUUGUCAAUUGAGAUUUGAUUUUCUAGAAAUUAGGGUUUUUGAUUUGUAAACGCAAUUUUGGGUAUAAUCAGUCUAUUAAUCUGUUAUUAGUCAUCUUCUAAGACGAUUGGUGCUAUAGAUGUAAUCUUAUGGAGUUUGGAAAUGGGAGCUUCGAGUAUACUUGUGUACGCUUAUGGAGUUACAAUAGAUGUAAUCAAUGUUAGGCAAUAUAAAGAGUGAAUUUUUUUUUGGGGUUUAUAUAUGUUUUAUGCUCUGCAAAGUUCUUGUCUUUGCUACAUGGGUUUGUUUGUGAUUUGAUUUUGCAUACAUUUACUUGUUCAUUAAGUAACUAAAUCUGCAGAAUUGAUUCAAUCUCUGUUGUUGUUUGUUACUGUUGUCUAACUGGAUUUUUCUUUCUUAGUUCUUUGUGAUAGGUCAUGAUUGUGCACAUAAUGAAGUGGAUGAUGUAAAGACUGACCUAAUGUAAAGAUAAAGAAAGCACUCUGUCCUCCAAAAAUUGUGCAAGUG
rnacentral:lncRNA from 1 species